UGCAGUCGAGCGAGACCUUCGGGUCUAGCGGCGGACGGGUGAGUAACGCGUGGGAACGUGCCCUUCUCUACGGAAUAGCCCCGGGAAACUGGGAGUAAUACCGUAUACGCCCUUUGGGGGAAAGAUUUAUCGGAGAAGGAUCGGCCCGCGUUGGAUUAGGUAGUUGGUGGGGUAAUGGCCCACCAAGCCGACGAUCCAUAGCUGGUUUGAGAGGAUGAUCAGCCACACUGGGACUGAGACACGGCCCAGACUCCUACGGGAGGCAGCAGUGGGGAAUCUUAGACAAUGGGGGCAACCCUGAUCUAGCCAUGCCGCGUGAGUGAUGAAGGCCUUAGGGUUGUAAAGCUCUUUCAGCUGGGAAGAUAAUGACGGUACCAGCAGAAGAAGCCCCGGCUAACUCCGUGCCAGCAGCCGCGGUAAUACGGAGGGGGCUAGCGUUGUUCGGAAUUACUGGGCGUAAAGCGCACGUAGGCGGACUGGAAAGUCAGAGGUGAAAUCCCAGGGCUCAACCUUGGAACUGCCUUUGAAACUAUCAGUCUGGAGUUCGAGAGAGGUGAGUGGAAUUCCGAGUGUAGAGGUGAAAUUCGUAGAUAUUCGGAGGAACACCAGUGGCGAAGGCGGCUCACUGGCUCGAUACUGACGCUGAGGUGCG
rnacentral:rRNA from 2 species